CAGAAAAACUUCCCACGUGUUGGGAGCCCGACGGUAGUGUAUGAAUAAGCAUCGGCUAACUCCGUGCCAGCAGCCGCGGUAAUACGGAGGAUGCAAGCGUUAUCCGGGAUUCAUUGGGUUUAAAGGGUGCGUAGGCGGCUCUUUAAGUCAGUGGUGAAAUCUUGCCGCUUAACGGUAAAAUUGCCAUUGAUACUGAAGAGCUUGAGUACAGUUGAGGUAAGCGGAAUGUGUAGUGUAGCGGUGAAAUGCUUAGAUAUUACACAGAACACCGAUUGCGAAGGCAGCUUACUAAGCUGUUACUGACGCUGAUGCACGAAAGCGUGGGGAGCGAACAGGAUUAGAUACCCUGGCAGUCCACGCCGUAAACGAUGAUCACUCGCUGUAUGCGAUACACAGUAUGCGGCCAAGCGAAAGCAUUAAGUGAUCCACCUGGGGAGUACGAUCGCAAGGUUGAAACUCAAAGGAAUUGACGGGGGCCCGCACAAGCGGAGGAACAUGUGGUUUAAUUCGAUGAUACGCGAGGAACCUUACCUGGGCUUAAAUGGGGAACGACAGCUGCCGAAAGGUGGCCUUCUUCGGACGUUCUUCAAGGUGCUGCAUGGUUGUCGUCAGCUCGUGCCGUGAGGUGUCGGGUUAAGUCCCAUAACGAGCGCAACCCUUAUCGUUAGUUGCCAGCGGGUCAAGCCGGGGACUCUAGCGAGACUGCCACCGUAAGGUGUGAGGAAGGUGGGGAUGACGUCAAAUCAGCACGGCCCUUAUGUCCAGGGCUACACACGUGUUACAAUGGCCGAUACAAAGGGCAGCUACCAGGUGACUGGAUGCUAAUCUCUAAAGUCGGUCUCAGUUCGGAUCGAAGUCUGCAACCCGACUUCGUGAAGCUGGAUUCGCUAGUAAUCGCAUAUCAGCCAUGAUGCGGUGAAUACGUUCCCGGGCCUUGUACACACCGCCCGUCAAACAAUGGAAGCUGGGGGUACCUGAAGUCUGUAACCGCAAGGAGCGGCCUAGGGA
rnacentral:rRNA from 1 species